rnacentral:rRNA from 1 species
GGCUCAGGAUGAACGCUGGCGGCGUAGCUUAACACAUGCAAGUCGAACGGAACUUAUAUGAUAGAGGAUUCGUCCAAUUGAUUANAAGUUUAGUGGCGGACGGGUGAGUAACGCGUGAGUAACCUGCCUUGGAGUGGGGAAUAACACAGUGAAAAUUGUGCUAAUACCGCAUAAUGCAUUUGAGUCGCAUGGCUCUGAAUGCCAAAGAUUUAUCGCUUUGAGAUGGACUCGCGUCUGAUUAGCUAGUUGGUGGGGUAACGGCCCACCAAGGCGACGAUCAGUAGCCGGUCUGAGAGGAUGAACGGCCACAUUGGGACUGAGACACGGCCCAAACUCCUACGGGAGGCAGCAGUGGGGAAUAUUGCACAAUGGGCGAAAGCCUGAUGCAGCGACGCCGCGUGAAGGAAGAAGGCUUUCGGGUUGUAAACUUCUUUUAGCAGGGACGAAGGACGUGACGGUACCUGCAGAAAAAGCAACGGCUAACUACGUG